CCUACGGGUGGCAGCAGUGAGGAAUAUUGGUCAAUGGGCGGGAGCCUGAACCAGCCAAGCCGCGUGAAGGAAGAAGGCGCCAAGCGUCGUAAACUUCUUUUGUCGGGGAAUAAAGGUAUCCACGUGUGGAUAUUUGCAUGUACCCUAUGAAUAAGCAUCGGCUAACUCCGUGCCAGCAGCCGCGGUAAUACGGAGGAUGCGAGCGUUAUCCGGAUUUAUUGGGUUUAAAGGGUGCGUAGGUUGUUUUUUAAGUCAGCGGUGAAAGUUUGUGGCUCAACCAUAAAAUUGCCGUUGAAACUGGAAGACUUGAGUGUGUUUGAGGUAGGCGGAAUGCGUGGUGUAGCGGUGAAAUGCAUAGAUAUCACGCAGAACUCCGAUUGCGAAGGCAGCUUACUAAGCCAUAACUGACACUGAAGCACGAAAGCGUGGGGAUCAAACAGGAUUAGAUACCCGAAUAGUC
rnacentral:rRNA from 1 species